UACGUAGGGUGCAAGCGUUGUCCGGAAUUAUUGGGCGUAAAGAGCUCGUAGGCGGUCAGUCGCGUCUGCUGUGAAAACUCGGGGCUUAACUCCGGGCCUGCAGUGGGUACGGGCUGACUAGAGUGCGGUAGGGGGAGACUGGAAUUCUGGUGUAGCGGUGAAUGCGCAGAUAUCAGGAGGAACACCGGUGGCGAAGGCGGUUCUCUGGGCCUUACCUGACGCUGAGGAGCGAAAGCGUGGGGAGCGAACAGAUGAGAUACC
rnacentral:rRNA from 1 species